CUGCACCUCCACACAAUGUGAUAUUAUCAAUUUAUCACUCUGCUUUCGUGAAGGGAGUUCAAACCAACUUCAAGAUUGAACCAUCUUUUGGAGUUGAAGCCUCGCAGCUUUAUCCUGAUGUCAAGUACACUACAGUUGAUGAGUACCUCAAUCAGUUUGUGUAACCCUUCUCUGUUUCCAGCUGCAGCUUGCAGGAUCUUGGACUCUUGGUAAAUAAAUAAUUGGCUUGUUGCCAUCUUUGGUUUUAUAUGUAAAAAUUAUGGUUGUUGGCCUUACUUUCUUCUGGUUGUCCAUGGAAUUUGUUAGACCAUAUUAUGUUUGCUAUGUCAGUGAUCAAAUGAAGUAGGCCAUGUACUUGAUUUGAGAGUAGUAGUUAUAAAAAGCCAUCAUGAUCAGGUGGGUGCGUGGGUUGGGCUUCUAUUAGGGUGCGUGUGUUGGGCUUCAGGGGCUUGUGAUAUGGGUUCGACAGCCCCUAACGGGCAGUCAUUAUAAAAAUAAUUAUAGAGUUACAAAUCUAUGUAAAAAGCAAAAAUUAAAAGUAAUUUAUCAAUAAAAAUAAUUAAAAUUAAUAAAAAGUAGGUAUGAUAUUUCAGAAAUUAAAUUAAAGAUAGCAUUCUAAAGAGUUGGAUAAUCCUCCAACUAAACUAAAGAUCUAGUACAUUUGAGAGCAAAUUUAAUUAAAGAAAAGGAUAAGGAAAAACAAUAGAAUAAUAAUAUUAAAAAUUGCAAAUCUUGGUCUUUUUUUUUUACGAUGAUGUUGAUUUCUUAUAAAUUUAAUCUUAUCUAUAGAAUUAUUUAGUUACUGUAUGUCAAAAUUUCCUAUAAAGAUGAAGAAAAAUUAUAUUAGGAGAAGAUCCAAAUCCGUUUAACUGAUGCAUCAUCAACAACAUGAGUACAACAUUUUCGAAUAAACAAAAGAAACUCGUUUUAUGUGCGAACCAGUUCCAAAAUAAAGAGCAGACUAUUGGAAGGAGACAAAUACUACAAGAAGAACAAAACAUUCUACAGUUCCUACAUGAGCCCGCAACAAUUAAUUAUUAACUCGACAUUCAUUACACUUUUUCUUUAAUUUGACAAAGAAACCAAAAAUAAGAUAAAAUUGACUAAGAAAUAAAAAAAUGACCAAAAUCUUUUUGAAGUUUUGCCAGUUCAGCCAUGCACGCUUAUCUUUAUUCACUUGUUUCCUUUCUUUCCUGGAGCCUUCACAAAUCCUUUACCUUUCUGAGCCUUGCCAAUUUUCCCCUUCUUCAAACCACCUGGCCUUGCUGGAUCCACGUGUCCUUGCAUCCUUUUUCAUUCGUGGAUCAACAAGAAUCUCCCCCUUUCCAACUCUCUCUUGAACUCCUUUCUUUGCGACCAUGUAUUCUUUUGUAGGCCUUUUGGGUAUAGUUGUCUUGUAUAAUUGUUCAAUUUGAUUCCUCUUCGAACGAUCAGAGAUGUCCGCUUAGUCUAAUAUGACAUUUGCCUUCUUGCGAACCUUCUCAAGAUUUCGCAUGGCAACCCGUAUCUUUCGAGCUUUGGUCUUAGCCACCUUCUUGGCAAUAAGGGUGGGCGAUUCGGUUUUGGGAUAAACUUUUGGUUUCGUAUCGGUUUAGAUUCAAAAAUAGUAUAAAAAAAUAUUUAGAUUUUAUGGGAAAAAAUCUGAACCGAAACUGACCUAUCGAUUUCGUCUCGGUUUCAGUUUAGUUUCGAUUCUCCUAAUAGUUUUGUUUUGCCUUAUUGACUUCCGGUCAAGGACACUUUUGAAAAAUUUACAAACAAAAAAAAAUUGGCCAUAACAAAAUUUCUAUAUGUAAAUAUUUCCUAAACAUUGGGCUAUACUAAAUUUUUUUAAAAGGUAGGGAUCCAAACGAUAUUAUCCCUCUACUUCAUCUUCAACCUUCGUCACUUAGCAGCUACCACAGUAUCGAAAUGGAAAAACUAAAAAAGCACCGUAGGAUACGCAUAUCCACACAUAUCUAAUAAAACUAAAUAUUAUUAAUAAUUUAGUAUAGUAAUAAUAAAACAAGACAAACAUGAAAUUAGAAAAGACUAAAGAGCUUUUUAAGAAAAAAGCCAUUUAAAAAACGAAAAAUAGCAAGUUAUUUGGCUAGUUAACUGGCGACAGAAGUAAUGGAAAGAAGCAACAACGGCAGCGGCAGGUCAACAACGAAGAUUCAGCAGCACCGACCACCCACAGACUUGGAUUCGAUUGCAAAGUUGGGACUUAGGAUUUGGGUUUGUGGCUGCUGAAAUUGAAAGCGAGAGAGUAGAAAGUAGAGACUGAGAGUGGUGCAAACAUGUGUAAUUCUGUGUGUGUGUGUGUCUAUAUAUAUAUAUAUAUAUAUAUAUAUAUAUAUAUAUAUAUAUAUAAUGUGAAAUUAUAAAAAUGCCAUUAUAUCGGUUCGAUUCGAAUUUUGUAACUUGUGAUCCGAAAACUGAACCAAAUCGAAUCAUUUGGUUUGGUAUUUAUAUAUUCGGGUUUUUAAUUUAAAAAAAACUAAAUUAAAACUGAAAAAACCAGAACCGAAUUUUUUUUUUUUUUUUUGUUUCGGUUCAAUUCUGCCCAUCCCAACUUAGUAGGCUGGGCAUCAAUUUCUUUGAAUUGUGCUUUCAUUGCAGUAAUCUCCUCCUUGGUAAUAGGUUUAAUUGCUUACUGAUGCCUCAUUUCCUCUAGUAACAACUAGUCUAACAAGUCAUCAUCGUCAAACAUGUACCUAUUAUAAGCAUCAUCCAGAAUUUGCUCUCUUUGCAUUUUGCUUAGUGUCUUCUUUGCACAAGCUAAUAUCUCAGCUUUUUGUAUCAAUAUCUUUAUCUUUUGAUUCACCAGCGGAUGAAUCAUCACCGGAAUAGAGUGGUGAAGGCCCCAUAGAUCAGUGUGAUCAAGUUCUAGUGUAGUUUUGGUUUUGAUUUCAGUAUUAGGAAAAUGAAGCCUAUGAAAUUUACCAAGCUAACAUGCUUCACAAAAGUGCUUUAAUACUUGACUAUGAAUACUUGAAGACGAUAAAUGAGGAUAAAUAAAUUUAAGGCAAAUGUUAUGUUACAAUUAAUGUAACAUACACACUCAAUAACAACCACACAAAUUUUGUGGGCCCAUUAUUUGUGUGGUUGUUGUUGAGUGUGUAUGUUACAUUAAUUGUAACAUAGGGGCUCCCUAAAUUUAAAUAUGCAUUAGAUUUUGAGGGUUGGGAUGUCAAAACUUUUGGUGAAAAAGAGUUAGUACAAGCAUUUUUAUUGAGAUUUAAAACAUUUCUUAAGAUGAUCAAUGCUAGUUACAGAAUAGGAAUGAAAAAAAAAGGCAACAUAGACAAAGGUUUGUUUAUUUGAUUGUAAGAUAGAAAAGACUUGUAUUUAGGUUGUGGAAAGGAUUUGAGCAGCAAUUUAUACAACCUUUUCUCAGCAAAACCUUCCUCUUCAAUGAAUCCUUCACAAAACAAAUAGAUCCAAGAAAUUUGACAAAUAAAUUGUUGUCAAUGGUAAGUUUUGAAAUGCUUAAUAGAUUCUUUGUAAUGGAUGGAACAAACAAUACAUCCUUAAGUAAAAUAUGUCUUAUAUUAUCUUUUUUUUUAAUUAUUUUUAAAAAAUAAGUGAAUAAUAGUAUGUCAAUCUCAAAUAUCAAUAUGUACAAUUUUUAUUUGUGUAAGAAUUUGCAUCCAAUAAUCAUCAAUACAUAAUUGUCUUUUAAUUUAAUUGUUCUCACCUCCCUUCCAAACUUUGAAAAGGUAAAAUAAGAUCAAUCAUGUCGGUGGCAAUUAAUAUAAGGAUUACUUUUCUUAUUUGUAGUAACGUCCUCUGAUUAUUUAGCUGAUUUUCAAGCUACACAUUUAUUCCAUUUGAUGUUGAUAUUAGUAAAAUUAAUGUAAUAUUUAAAAAGGAAAAAAAUCCGUCGAGCUAAAAGCUGAGUAUAAAAUUGAACCCGACCCAAACCAGAAACGCACGCCAACAGCAUGCUUGCGUCAGUCGGCCCAAGCCCAUAAACCCACCAAGCCCAAUCCAAAUAGAAAAAUGAAUUGGAUGCCCGAGAUAGCACAAACAGAUAAGUAACGCUAGCGCUAUCCCCAGUCUCAUAUCUUCAACGGUAUCCAGCCAACAUCUCAAAGUGUUCAAUUUUUUUUUGAAGCUAAAAAAAAAAUUCAAAAUUUUCAAGUGGAAUCUGGGAAGAUGGCAACAAAAAGCAAGAUUCUGGUUAUCGGCGGAACCGGAUACAUAGGUAAGUACUUAAGGUGCGUUUGAAAUUGAAGUUGGACAGGUAUAACUUUAAAACUGCAGCACUAAAAUGUUUGGUAAACACUAACUAUUGUAACUUAAAAACUAUUUAAUAUAAUUUUUCACUUGUAUAAUAAAAAAUUUAUUAUAUCUUUAAUAAUUUUAUCAAAAUUAUUAUUUAAAAUAUAUACAUACUACAUAUUAUUAAUUUUUGUUUUAUAACUAUAAUUUUUUUCCUACCGCAACUGUAAUUUAAAAACUACAGCACCUCAAUCCCAAACAAGACUUUAGUGGAUGCGAGCGCGAAAGACGAUCACCCAACAUUUGCGCUUGUGAGAGACUCCACUCUCUCCACUCCUUCCAAAUCCAAAAUCCUCGACCGUUUCAAAAAUCUCGGCGUCAAUUUAGUUCCUGUGCGCCACUCUUUUAGCUUUCCAUUUUUCCUGCCAAUUUUCUUUUAUUGUGAUUAAUUAAUUAAUGUAAAGAUUUUAUAUUAUAAUUUUGUUUUCAGGGAGAUCUAUACAGCCAUGAGAGCUUGGUGAGUGCAAUAAAGCAAGUGGAUGUGGUGAUAUCAGCGAUAGGUCGCACUCAAUUAGCUGAUCAACUCAACAUUAUCGCAGCAAAUUGCGAUAACUAAUUACUUGGGAUUUUAAAGAAGCUGGAAAUGUUAAGGUACUGAUUAACUUAAGUAAAUGCGUUAACUAAUUACUUGGGAUUUUAAAUUCAAAUGCGUGAAUUGUUCUAAAAAAUGAUUUAUGUUUAUUAGUCAGAGAUUCUUUCCUUCAGAAUUUGGAAAUGAUGUUGAUCGCGUGCAUGCCGUUGAGCCAGCAAGAACAUCAUUUGCCACCAAGGCUAAAAUCCGCCGAGCUGUUGAGGCUGAAGGAAUUCCAUACACCUACGUAGCUUCCAAUUUCUUCGCUGGUUUGUAUCUUUCCAGUUUCUCACAGCCUGGAGCCGCAGCUCCUCCAAGGGAUAAAGUGGUCAUCGUAGGUGAUGGAAAUGCAAAAGGCAAAGCGCUUCUGGAUACAUUUACUCUGUACACGCAGUGUGUGGUUACUGUUUAGGGAUAAAAAAGGAGAUUAAUUAAUAAAGAAAAUGAAAUUAUUGAGGGAUUUGCUGAAGAGUUGCGUGCACUCCUCAUUUUUCUCCACCACUCAUCUUACUUGCAAAAUGCAAUGACCAAACUAUCCUCGCCAAAGCCUAGACAUUUGCUUGUGUUCAAAGGCCAUUUAAGGGAGACAAGUACAAAAAAUUAUAAAGGAUAGUGAGCAAAAGAAGAAAAUGGAAGGGGGAGAGUAAAAAAGGGGAGUGGGGCGUUAUCCAGGGAGGAUUUUUAUUUUUAUUUUUUUCCUCUCUUCUCCAUGGCAUCUCUUUCUCUCUUUCUCCCACUAAGAAAUUCUUUCUUUUACACUCUAUUUUACUUUUCUACAAAUUACACAAAAAGCUUUUGGUUUUAAGGCAAUGUUUAUUAAGCCACAUGAACUUGAAAAAGCAUGAAUAAGGGGAUGAUUUUAACACAUUAAUUCACCAACAUUAAUUGGAAAAGAUCAGUUGCCACUUCGAAUCAGAGUAAUUUCUUCGGCAAUAGCCAAAUAUUGAUAUUUGAUCUUGACACUGUAGUUAAAUGAAUGUAACUGGUUUUGUCAUUUGAUCCCCAGCAUUUUUUUAACAAGGAAGACGAUAUUGGAAUCAAUUCUAUCAAAGCGGUGGAUGAUCCAAGAACACUGAACAAAAUACUUUACAUCAGACCCCGUUGCAGUAUCUACUCAUUCAAUGAUCUUGUGUCUCUGUGGGAGGAAAAGAUUGGCAAAGCCCUUGACAGGGUCUAUGUUACAGAGGAACAACUUCUGAAAAACAUUCAAGGUUAGUUAGAACUAUCACUUUAUUCGUUACUGAUGACAACACAUGGAGAAAUUUUCCUUGGUCUUAUCAAGUGGAUAGAUGUAACUGACCGAUAAUGGAAAAUUUUUUCCUUCUCCAAAAUGCGAUAGAAUCUAAUCGGUUUCAACAAUCUCAAGAACAUCUAUUCAUGGUUGUGUUGUUUGAAAUCUGUAUGUAUCAGUUUUCUUUCUAGAUCUCAGAUUGCUCGCAAGGAUGUCAAGUUUUGAUGAUGCUUGCCUGUUUUCCUGUGUUUACAGAAGGCUCAUAUCCACUCAAUAUGAUAUUAUCUAUUGGGCACUCUGCCUAUGUCCUGGGAGAUUAGACCAACUUCGAAAUUGAACCUUCAUUUGGAGUAGAGGCAACCGAGCUUUGUCCAGAUGUCAACUACACUACUGUGGAUGAGUACCUCAACCAGUUCAUAUAAACCUUCUGAGAUGAGCAGCAGGAUCCUAACCAAAAAUUGGGUGGUUUCCAUCCCUGAUUCUAUGGUAUAAAGAUAGCGGCUUUCCAUGCUUUUGCCAGUUCAAUGAAGUUUGUUAGAUGAUGUUAUUUAUACUAUACUAGCAAAGAUCAAGUUGCCUUUCUUGUCAAGAAGCCAAGCUCUGGCAUUGGUUUAUGCUAGUUUUUCACACUAAUAUUGGUAUUCACUAAUUUUUUUUUUUUCAUUUCACACCUCCAUCAUCAGUUGAGAUACCCUCUUGUAUGGUACUAACUUUGAUUUUCCUUAUGCUUCACUUGCUGUCUCUGCAGAUUCGUAAAAGAUCAUUCAUGGAUAAGAUCAGAACAUCAAUGUAAUACAGUAUGCAUUGAGAACUCCCACAUGAGUCUUGUUCUAGUUCUCGUUAGACAUGAAACAUGUUACAGUUCCAUAACUUGAGACAUUGUCAUUCAACAAUUAUCAUCGCAUUAAAACAGUGGCCAAUCCCUAACAGCUACCUUUUGACUCUUCACAUUUUUUUUCUGCAUUUUAUGCGCAUUAAUUAUCCAGACCUAGACUUACUCUUCUCAGCUUGGCCCGUUGGACAGUGAGUGAUGAAACAGAAAAUUUUUCAUGUUUAUGAAUGUAUGAAGUAUCUCUUCUGCACUGCACCGGCAUCCUCCUUAACUGUCAGUAGGAUCACAAUAAGUCGACCAACCAUCUACCGUAUGGAUUAUCUAUAAAUUGAAAUUGGUGUGUAUUAUGGAUCUGUCACUCUGCUGCUUCUGUUUUCUUUUCUAUUUUUACCAAGAAAGAAACAUUGUUAAAACUGAAUGGUUGUUAUCUCGUCUUGUUGUAAUGUUGUGUAUGCUUUCUAGAAAAUAAUGAAGUGCCAAAUAUGAAAAUACUAGUGGCUACCUUACCAUCCUUAAUAAGUUGUCUGAUUGUCACCGUCAACAAUCACUCUCAGAAACUCAUAAUCCAUUUAAGCAUAUUAUAAAAUAAUCAAUUUUGUAUUUGCACCAACUUUUAGUUUUAAAUGACAAUUUCGUUGAUCCCCUCACACUUCUGUACUAAUCAAAUCCACUGAAACUGGACUUUUUUUUUUUUUUUUUUAUAAUUACAUCGAUUGCAAUGGCUAUUGCAGGGAAAAGACAGCCUCUACAGGGAACUAAACUUUCAGAAUUGAUCUUAUGAGGGUUUGAAUAUGCUCUCGUACUAGGUCAAUGGCCUAUUGGUUCGAGACCAUUCACAAAGAAAGAAAUGAGUUUUGCUUGUAUAAAUGAAAGAAAUCCAAAUGAUAACUAAUGUAUAGUGGUACAUGAGAAAAAUAAUUUCAGCCCCUGUGUAAAGUCAAAAAGAGAAAAUAUUAAAAGAAAGGAUAAUGUCAUUGAGUUCGGUGAAGUGAAAGAAAAUAAAAAACAUGGGAUUUAGUCAAACUUAGUGUCCCAAUCAGCAGAAAAAGGUUUUAGAAACUCACCUCAAGUUAAGCCAACUAUUAGGAGCUUUAUUUAAUCAUGGCUUUCUAAUGUAUAGUACUCCAAUACUAAACGAGGGCUACCUCUACGCUUGCAAAUGUAAAUGAAAUUGAGUUCGUGACGCACAAUGAAGUGAGCAAAAUGAGUUGAGAUCUGAGAAUAUAUUAAAGAAAAUAUGAAUCAAUGAAUUUUGGUUAAAAAAAACAAAUGCUGGUUCUUCAAGACCUGCGUGUAUUGUGUAAGUUUUGUUAGGAGAAGGAAAGCAUUUUGGUCUAAAACGCACUAAAUCGGAUUCAUUUGCUUGAUAUCUAAUAAGGGUGAAUUAACCACUCGCCCACAGCAAUUCAAGUACCCAAAAAAGUUUUGUGGGGGCUAAAUUUCUUCUUUAAUUAUAACAAAUAAUUGAGCGGAGGAUAAAAAUUUAGGCCAUGUAUAACAAUAACUAAUAUAAACUAGUCCUAAUAAUAGUAUAAUUGUAAAUAUCAGUUGUAGUCUCAUACAAUAUAAGUUUAUAGAUUAUAAUAUCGGCAUAAAAAGAAAAAUGAUAUCUGACGGUCAAUCAAUAAAAGGACAAAAACUUGGAGUAACAUACCACAAAGUCAAUGUAGCUGGACAGUGAAUAUAAUAUGUAAACAAAUUUAAAUGGGAUAAUACCAUACGGUACAUACAUAACAUUUUAAAACUGAAUUAAAAAAAUAAAAUUAAAACUGAAUUGGAAUUCGUAUGUGUAUCCAGCUACCUUGCCACAGUUGUAAGGUACCCUAACUUUGCAACAAUUUCAUCCUUCGUGCAUUCGGUCACAAAGUCCAAAUUAGGCACGUUUAAGAAUCGAACUGAAAAACUAAAAAAAAGAAUCCGGCGAUAUUUGCGAACCGGAAACGAGCCAGCGUUAUGCUUAUGUCAUUUCAGAGAUAUCAACAGUCGUGCUUUCAGUCCUUAAACCUCAAGGGCAUUUUCGUCCUUUCACUCAAGCGUGAAACUGCAUGUAAGAACUGCUUCGCUUACACGCUCCAUGCACAUUUAAAGGCACCACUGUCGGAUAAAAAAUAUCCAUCCAUUUGAUCAUUUCAAAACAAAACGAAAAAAAAAAUCUCAGUAAUUGAACUGAACGAGUCUCAGAAAUGGCAUCGAAAAGUAAGAUUCUAUUCAUCGGCGGGACAGGGUAUAUCGGUAAAUCCACUGUCGAAGCGAGCGUAAAAGCCGGCCACCCGACGUUCGUGCUCGUGAGAGAAUCCACAAUCUCUGGUCCUUCCAAAUCUCAACUCCUCGAUCACUUCAAAAACCUCGGCGUCAAUCUCGUCAUAGUGCGUUUUCAUUUUUCUCUUUUCUUAAUUUUUUAUUCCGAUCAUUUUUACACGUCGAAGUGUAGCAUCUACUACUUAAUAUACAUAAUGAUAUUAUUAUUUUUUAAUUUUUUUGGGUUGCUGUUAUUAUUAUGCAGGGAGAUGUGUUGAAUCACGAGAGUUUGGUGAAGGCGAUUAAACAAGUGGACGUGGUGAUAUCAACGGUCGGUCACACUUUAUUAGCUGAUCAGGUCAAGAUUAUUGCUGCCAUUAAAGAAGCCGGUAACGUUAAGGUAUAACAUAAUUAAUGUAAAUGUCUUAGAUUCCGAUCAGGAUUGUGCACUCGCGAACACGUGGUGAUUUAUUCUUGGUGUGGAGCUCGCUGUAGAGUAGAGCUCCCAGUUCAGCUAAUAAACACCCCGUCACAUGCGCAAUUGCGCCUCAAAAUAAUUUAAUUGAUUAAUUAAGGAUAAAUACCAAUGGCAUGAAAGCAAUUAAAAUUAGUUGAUGUUUAUAAAUUAUUUAUUACUCAGAGAUUCUUACCAUCGGAAUUUGGAAAUGAUGUUGAUCGAGUUGAAGGCGCCGUAGAGCCAACAAAAUCGACGUAUGACGUAAAGGCGAAAAUCCGCCGAGCCGUUGAGGCAGAAGGCAUUCCGUACACUUACGUAGAAUCUUAUUGUUUUGAUGGCUAUUUCCUCCCCAAUUUGUUGCAGCCUGAGGCCACUGCCCCCCUAGGGAUAAGGUUGUCAUCUUAGGCGAUGGAAAUCCAAAAGGUAAUAUAAUUUAAUUAAGCUCUGUUUGUUUGGUAUGUAUUUCGGUGUUAAUGUUAUUGUCUGUUGUACAAUGGAUGGUCUUGCUUGGUACUGUUGUUGGAGAGCUGCAGUGUUUUGAUAAACACCUCUAUCCUUAGCUUUCAAGUUAAGUUGAUUUUAUACAACACUUGUUUAAUUCAAAACUUGUAAUAUUCUUACUACUUUGAUAAAAAAUAUUACGAUUAAAGCAUUAAUGGCACCAUAAUACGAAAUGAACCUUAAGUGGUCAUUAUAGAUUUUAAGAUAGAGUUUUAAGUGAUUACCAGAUACUUUAGCUGCUGAACCGCCACAUCAUGGUUGCCACACAACAAUUUCAAACAGAGCCUAAAUAACUUCAUUGCAAAACAGUUAAAUGAAUCUAACUUAGUUUCGUCGUUUGAUUUUCAGCUGUUUUUAACAAGGAAGAUGAUAUUGGAACCUACACUAUCAAAGCGGUUGAUGAUCCGAGAACCUUGAACAAAAACUUUUACAUUCAGCCUCCCGGUAAUAUUUACUCAUUCAAUGAUCUUGUGUCUCUGUGGGAGAGAAAGAUUGGUAAAACCCUCGAAAAGGAGUAUGUUUCAGAGGAGCAGCUCCUAAAGAAUAUUCAAGGUUGGUUAAAACUCUCUUUUUUUAAAUGUAUUAAAGAGAGCCGUAUAUUCUCUGCCGUAAAUGUUAUUGAUCCUGUCUUCUCCAAAAUGUUGCAGAAGCUGCACCUCCACACAAUGUGAUAUUAUCAAUUUAUCACUCUGCUUUCGUGAAGGGAGUUCAAACCAACUUCAAGAUUGAACCAUCUUUUGGAGUUGAAGCCUCGCAGCUUUAUCCUGAUGUCAAGUACACUACAGUUGAUGAGUACCUCAAUCAGUUUGUGUAACCCUUCUCUGUUUCCAGCUGCAGCUUGCAGGAUCUUGGACUGUUGGUAAAUAAAUAAUUGGCUUGUUGCCAUCUUUGGUUUUAUAUGUAAAAAUUAUGGUUGUUGGCCUUACUUUCUUCUGGUUGUCCAUGGAAUUUGUUAGACCAUAUUUUGUUUGCUAUGUCAGUGAUCAAAUGAAGUAGGCCAUGUACUUGAUUUGAGAGUAGUAGUUAUAAAGCCAUCAUGAUCAGGUGGGUGCGUGGGUUGGGCUUCUAUUAGGGUGCGUGUGUUGGGCUUCAGGGGCUUGUGAUAUGGGUUCGACAGCC
rnacentral:lncRNA from 1 species